AUGGGUAUGCAGUCUAUGAUGGAUGUCCGGUGCACGAACCUUGUUAACCCUGUAUGCGACUGGCUUGGUGAGAUCUAUGACCCUGCCUCCAGGGAAUUCGUGAUUCCGGGACGCGGAAGACUACCGUUGAACGAGGAAUCCGUGUUCUGUACUUUGGGUGUGCCUCGUGGACAUAUGAAAGUCCCGUACGAGGUCAACAAUGAGAUCGAGGAAGAGCUGUUCCCCCGUUUGUUUCCUGGGUCUGAAUCCACGCCGAACACGUCCGCAGUGGCAGAUUCGCUGCAGGCCAUGACGACGCACAGAGAUGUUUUCAAGAUGAAGCUACUCGUGUACCUCAUCUCAGCUGUUUUCGCGCCGACCACCUCUCUUCUCCCGAGCAACAAAUGCUUCCCCAUCCUAGCGGAUCUGGGAAAUGUGAAGAACAUGAAUUGGUGUAAGUUUAUUGCCGACUUCCUGCACGAUGCAUUCUCAAGCAAGAUGUACCAAAAGGGUUGUCGACUGCAUUUAAUGCUCAUGUACGUCGACUGUCUUGACCUGUCCACCAUGGACUUCACUGGGAUAGGAGGCCCGCCGCCUGCGCACAAGUUUGCUGUUUCUGCUUGGACUAUCAACGCUGUCAAGGCUCUGCUUGCCGCAGACAAGGCUACUGACACCACAUAUGGAAAACUGCAGCUGAUGCCCAAGCAUGCUAUAGACUACAACGUGUUUGGGGGGCCUCAAAACUUUGGAAAGUGGAUGGACGUGUACUCAGCUCCGUCUUGCCCUACCGAGGCGAGGGCACCUGUUGAGCAUCUAAUAGGGCAGUUUGCAUCUGGAAUGACCGGCUUGCUCGGGAAGUUGGUUGAGGGUUCCCAAGAGCCUGCUGACACACAAGAUGAACUAGGUGGAGAUGCUGGUCUUAGCAAGGAUGACGAUGAUGUCAUGGAGAAUGUGCAAGAGGACACCAAUGAUGAUGAUCAUGCUGAAGUUCACGCAGGUGGUAACAAGGGCAAGGAUGCAACAAAUGUCCCCCAACCGGAGAAAGUGAAACAACACAUGGCUGCGAGAGGCGAGGGGGUUUUGACAUCAAAGAGGAGGAGGGCUCCAGAGGGUGUUGGGCAGGGUUCUGCUGGCAAGAGGUCUAGGACCGACCCUGUAGCUGCUAGGAAGAGCGAGCCGACAGCUGGUGGACAAGCAGUUACGAAGAAACAGGCGCCAACGCCAACCCGUGUUUCUGCUCGGUUGAACAAAGGCGCCCCCAUUGCCGGUGACACCCCUUCCACCAGGUCAUCUCCUCGCACGACGACGACCAACACCGGGGAUCCUGUCGUGUUGCCAGACAUGAGGAAGGCAGUCAGGAAGGUGAAGAAGACUACUACGCGCGGGGCCAAGCAUAUCAGUAAGGACCCGCUCGAAUGCCUGCAUUCAAAGUUGUCAACAGGGGGCAACUCAGAUGUACAUGAGGCACCAGGCGACAAUACUGCUGCUGCACCGCUGACCGCUCCCACCAACUCUGAUAGGCAUCCAUACAUCGGGGAGUGA
rnacentral:rRNA from 1 species